ensembl:lncRNA
GAGAAAUGAGGCUCCCGCAGCAGUGGGGGGAGCAGAGCCGUGCCGGGUGCCUUGGCCAUCCCCACAUCUGGUGGUCCCCAGGGAGCUCUGACCCAGUGCUGUGUCCCUGCAUCCCCAGGAUCUACAGACUGCCUCUCAGGGAUACUUGUUGCUGACGUAGCCCUGCACUUUUCUCCCACACCAGCAUGUGUUGCAUUUCCACUGAAGCCAGCUGGCAGGGACGGCUGCACGGACGCUCGGGUCGGAGCCACUGACUUUGGAUGGGCUGCCAGAGCUGGGUGAAGGCAUGGCUCACCACGAGCCCUGCGGCACUGGCCCUGUCACGCUGAUGUCACCACGCAGCCUCAGCCCCAGGGAGCCAGGAGACACUUGGCACAGGGCUGGGGGCAGCGUGGGGCUGGGACAGAUGCUGGUGUCCAGAAGGACCGCAGAGGAAGAGCCAUCCCACCACGCAGGUUCUGGUGUCACAGAAGCGUGAGGUCACAGCCCGUGACACUGUGGCCACCAGCAGUGCCAAGAACAGCCCCCAGCACCUCUCCCCACAGCUUUGCAUUGCCAUCCAAGGCCCCAAAAUGAAACCAGCUGCACCCCAGGAGGCUGGAGACCCAAGGGACAAGCCCUGCCCGCUGUGCACCAUGGAGCAGAAAAGCCGCCUCUGGAAAG